AGUCUGGAGCAGAUCACAGUUCUUUCUAAUAAUUGGAAUCUUAGACUUUUGUUUAUGUUUUUUAAAAAGUGUAAACAGUGGUUGAGGUCUAUCCCGAUGGGGCUUUUUCUGUAGACCUACAUCGUUGGAAACGCCUCAUAGAGUAAUUGUGUGGUUUCCUUGACUCACAGAACUAUCUGUUAGACCUGUGAGAAAGAACUACAAGACAGAGCUGUUAAAACUAUGAAAGGAUUUAAUAGCCAAAAAUUUUUUUUCUUAGGUUUUGGCAUAUCCCAAGAUCUGUACUAUUUUAGAGUGUGAUAGCUUAGGUAAGUUUUCAUUGGUGAUAGUUAAUCUUGGUACCAUUAUAGUUCAGAUGAUGAAUUUUACCUGUUCAACUGCUGAAUGAUACAGACGUGAACUAAAACUUAAUUCUGACAGAGCUGGAUAUAUCUCUGUAUAGGUGUUAGUUUUUAAUCACACACUUAAGUUGUCCUAAAUCUUUUAUUUGGUAUUUUAUCUGUAGGAGUGAAUAUGAUUUGAACGUAACUCAUGUUUAGAGGUUGUCUAAUAUUGAGAACCAGGCAGAUCCAUCGACUCUGACCCUAAACAUGGCCCUAAAAAGUAAAUUGGUUGAAGAAAUUGGAUCACAGAGAUUACAGGUAAGAUUUUAAUGUAUUCCCUCAAAUUCUCUAUUUUAUAACAGACUUUAACUUCACUUCUUAUUGCUGCUAAUCCUGGUGGUCCUUUGUUAUCACCACUUAACGAGAAAAUGAAAAAAAAAAAAAACCUAUAGAUCUUAAAAAGGCCACCAUGUGUUGUUUAUAGUGCUUACUAGUGAUGUAUGAUGUUAUGAUGAUGGGCAAAAUGUUCAACUGCUCUGAAUGGGCUGAAUGAAAAUAGCCUUUCUGAACAUACAUAUACAUUAAUUAUGUGCUAUACCAUAGAACAUGAAAGCUCUAAGGUAAAAGUUAUCUGAAACAUGUGUAUGUUUCCAAACCUUUGGAGUUACUGAUCAGAGAAUACUUUUCAUGUAAGUCAGGUAUGAAUGGAAAUGGUUAAUUAAGCCUUAAUUUUAAAAUAUAUUUUUUCUCAACAUUUAGUUUAAAUGAACUGGAUUGAAAAGAUGUUUAUUCUAUUUGCAAUUUUAAGCGUGGAAUUUUUAAUACAUACUAGUUGGAAACUGGGUUUCAAGGAUACUUUGGAACCUAAUCAACCUCAUUUUGAAAACUGAAGUCCAAUAUAAACUUUAAAAUCUUUCCGUAGGUCGGGAAUUUUUAAAGAAUGUUCAUAUUCAAGUGGAAAUCAAAGAAGCCGAACUAAAAGAAUCAUGGCAAGUUACUUGUUUUUUAUAGUCUUACCAUACAGCACAUUAUUUUUCAGGGUAUAAUGGUCAUUACCAAGGCUUUUAGAAUGUAGUUUCUCAUUUGCUGUGGACAUGACCAUAAAAAAAAUUUCCCACUAGGUUUUUCUUCUGCUACCUUGCUAGCAUUCAGCCUAUUGGGAACAUUAUUAACCCUUACUGGUUUUAUUUACAUUGCCUAGAUCAGCACUGCCCAGUAUUAAUAGAACACAAGCCAUAUGUGACUUUGUAAUAAUAGCCAGUGGUAAUCAAUGAGAUUUUAUAACAGCCAUAUUUCAAAUUCUCACUGGUGGUACAUGGCUAGAGCCUAUUGAACAGUGCAUGCCUGGAUCUCUGGAGUCUUGCAACUAUCCAUUGCCUGGUUAAACUGAGUUGCUAGAAACCAGGCUGCUUGUAAUGUAAUAGAGCUAAUAGGGAGGCUGGCUUCAGAAUUGACAUGAUCAUCUCUGGAAACGCAACCUUAUAUUUAUAUUCCUGUGUUAUAGAACUGACUGACAUGACAACCGUGGAUUGAGCAAAAUUUCUUUUUAAAAGGGCUAUCUUGAAGACUCAAAACUUUG